rnacentral:rRNA from 1 species
UGCCCUGCACUUUGGGAUAAGCCUGGGAAACUGGGUCUAAUACCGAAUAGGACCACGCGCUUCAUGGUGUGUGGUGGAAAGCUUUUGCGGUGUGGGAUGGGCCCGCGGCCUAUCAGCUUGUUGGUGGGGUAAUGGCCUACCAAGGCGACGACGGGUAGCCGGCCUGAGAGGGUGACCGGCCACACUGGGACUGAGAUACGGCCCAGACUCCUACGGGAGGCAGCAGUGGGGAAUAUUGCACAAUGGGCGCAAGCCUGAUGCAGCGACGCCGCGUGAGGGAUGACGGCCUUCGGGUUGUAAACCUCUUUCAAUAGGGACGAAGCGCAAGUGACGGUACCUAUAGAAGAAGCACCGGCCAACUACGUGCCAGCAGCCGCGGUAAUACGUAGGGUGCGAGCGUUGUCCGGAAUUACUGGGCGUAAAGAGCUCGUAGGUGGUUUGUCGCGUUGUUCGUGAAAACUCACAGCUUAACUGUGGGCGUGCGGGCGAUACGGGCAGACUAGAGUACUGCAGGGGAGACUGGAAUUCCUGGUGUAGCGGUGGAAUGCGCAGAUAUCAGGAGGAACACCGGUGGCGAAGGCGGGUCUCUGGGCAGUAACUGACGCUGAGGAGCGAAAGCGUGGGGAGCGAACAGGAUUAGAUACCCUGGUAGUCCACGCCGUAAACGGUGGGUACUAGGUGUGGGUUCCUUCCUUGGGAUCCGUGCCGUAGCUAACGCAUUAAGUACCCCGCCUGGGGAGUACGGCCGCAAGGCUAANACUCAAAGGAAUUGACGGGGGCCCGCACAAGCGGCGGAGCAUGUGGAUUAAUUCGAUGCAACGCGAAGAACCUUACCUGGGUU